rnacentral:lncRNA from 1 species
AUCACAUUAAAACUUUUUGAAAAGAAAUACUGUUAUAGAUGCAUAUGUGUAUACAUCUAUAUAUGUGUAUACACAUGUUAUACAUAUAUAUUUGUAAAUGCAUAGAAAUUUUCUCCAUGAUACGAAGGGUGUUGUUACAGAUUAAAUUGAGUCCUCCAGAAAAGAUAGCUCAAAGAUCGAACCCCCAAGACCUCAGAAUGUGAUUGUAUUUGAAAAUAUAGCUGUGUGGGUGUAGGUAGUUAAUUUGAGUUCAUACUGGAAUAGAGUGAGCCCCCUGAUGUUAUGACUUCUGUCUGUAUAAAAAGAUGUUCACAAGCAGACAGAAACACAGAAUGCCAUAUGAAGACAGGGGGAUGGGGUGGUGCAUUUAUAAGCCAAGGAAUGCCAAAGUUUUACCAGGAAAGCACCGGAAGCCAGGCUGAGGCAAGGAAGGAUUCCUCUUGCUAUGGUUUAGAUACAAUGGAUGGCCCAGAAGCUCCUGCACUAGCAAUGUUUGGCAGUGAGAGGAUUAGAUUUUGAGAUCUGGAACCAAAUCAGCCCAUCCUAGUUUAAAUCGACUGACUGGGUGGUAACUGUAGGCAGAUGGGGCACGGAUGGAGGGAUCACUAGGGCAUGCCCAGGAAGAGUGCAUCUUCCCUGUGGCCCAUGCCCACCUCCUCCUCUCUCUGCUCCCUGACCCCUCCAUGAGCAGAGCAGCUUUCCUCUGCUGGGACCCUUGCCCAUGCUGUUCCACCUCACUUGGGCCCAGAGCAAUGACUAUGGAUUGAAAGGUCUGAAACUGGAGCUCUAAGUAAAC